rnacentral:rRNA from 1 species
GAUCCUGGCUCAGAAUCAACGCUGGCGGCGUGCCUAACACAUGCAAGUCGAACGAGAAAGGGGCUUCGGCCCUGAGUAAAGUGGCGGACGGGUGAGUAACACGUGGGUGAUCUGCCCUCCAGUGGGGGAUAACACACCGAAAGGUGUGCUAAUACCGCAUGGAGUUCCGGUUGUCAUGGCCGGAAUGAAAGCAGCAAUGUGCUGGAGGAGGAGCCCGCGCCGGAUUAGCUAGUUGGUGGGGUAACGGCCCACCAAGGCUACGAUCCGUAGCCGGCCUGAGAGGGUGACCGGCCACACUGGAACUGAGACACGGUCCAGACUCCUACGGGAGGCAGCAGUGGGGAAUUUUGCGCAAUGGGGGAAACCCUGACGCAGCAACGCCGCGUGGACGAUGAAGGCCUUUGGGUCGUAAAGUCCUGUCAGCAGGGAAAAACAAAAUGAUGGUACCUGCAGAGGAAGCUCCGGCUAACUUCGUGCCAGCAGCCGCGGUAAUACGAGGGGAGCAAGCGUUGUUCGGAAUCAUUGGGCGUAAAGGGCGCGUAGGCGGCCGUACAAGUCUGGGGUGAAAGCCCUCGGCUCAACCGAGGAAUUGCCUUGGAAACUGUAUGGCUUGAGUAUUGGAGAGGAAAGCGGAAUUCCCAGUGUAGCGGUGAAAUGCGUAGAUAUUGGGAGGAACACCUGUGGCGAAGGCGGCUUUCUGGACAAUCACUGACGCUGAGGCGCGAAAGCCAGGGGA